CCCGGCGGAAGCCGGUUGUAUAGUAUUACCGGUCAUAUGUUUGUUUGCAUUAUCAGUAGAAUUGUGAUUUUUUAAAGACAGCAUAGUAUAUAUAACUAUAGUUUAUAUAGUUAUAAGCCAGCUAUUUCUGAUUUUAUCAUGUUAGACCCACAUCUCUUAUUGGCUUUACGAUUGGAGUCUGUCCCUUUCCAAUAUACCUCGAAUGGAAUAGACUCGCAAAUUCAUCUUCUAGUAUCCAUUGAAUAGACGUCUUCGCUGUAUUUUUUAAGCACCGCUACACACAGGAGUUUGUUUGCGGGACGAAGUGUAUGAGCGGUCAUAAAGGUUCAAGGGCGGGACCCUCUUAUGACAGUCAGGCGAGAGGAGCCAUCGCAUCCAAUCACAUGGAACUACAUUCAGUUCUGUAACAUAACUCGUUCCUGCUAGUGAUGUCUCCUUUUCAUCUACCAUGUUCGCAAUGAUGAAUUUUCAGCCUCGGCCGCUAAAGAGAGUAAAAUGGCCUUUGGGCUGUUCUCGAACAGGGCUGCUCUGUUCUGCGUCUGGCCCUUCUUCACCCAGUGUCCAUAGAUCUUGAAUGCACAGGCAUCGAUGAGUUUGCGAAUUGGUUUCACUGCAUAGGGGUCACUCUUGAUCACGUCCUUGGUGAUGGGUUUGACACGACGAUAGUUGCAGUAAAUGCGCACUGAAGCAAGGACGGUCAUACAUAUGACCUGGAAACAGAAGUGGGAAACAAUUGCACUUCAUAAUAGGGUCAGUCCAUCUCAAUUGGUCCAAUAAUUGUAAAGUUAGUUGCUUGCCUGUUUUUCUCUUCUUUUUUAUUGUGAUUACCUCUAUGUCAUCCAUGUACAUCUAUGUACAAAACCACCAGUUUUUUUUUCUAAGGCUAGUAGAAAUCUAGGGAAAAGCCUACUUUAUUCAAGCAUUUUGAGGAAUAAACAGAGGUAAUAUAAGCAUAACAAAUAAUACAAAUGAAAAGCAUUUGACAUUAAUUAUGUUUAUGAUUGACAUAAACAUAACUGACUACAGCUUAGAAGGCACUUACUGCUCUUAUCAUAGAAGAAUCAACACCAGAGCUCUGUUUAUGAAACUGUUCAUUUGUAAAACACCCAACUGAACACUGUAAUUCCAUAGUGGGAUCAAAUCUAUACACGCAUAACAACUGUACCAACAUGAUACAUCAGUGUUCUUUAAAUCUGGCCCUUGAGGUCCACUGUCCUGUAGAGUUUAGCUCCAAACCUAAUCAAACACACCUGAACAAGCUAACCAAGGUCUUCACAAUUGCUAGAAAAUUACAGGCAGGUAAGUUUGGAGGUUGGCGCUAAACUCUGCAGAUUUGAAGAACACUGACAGAUCAUGCUUCACUGUUGCCAAUGUUGUCAAAUGUAGUAACAUUUUAGACCUCAUUGACAAGCAUAAGCUAUUGUAUGUCAAUCAUAAAAAUAAUAAUUAUUAAAAGUUACUCACUUUAAACUUCCUGUAUGGACUGAAAUGUCGCACCUCCUCGACCACAUACUGCUGAAAGAAUGGGUGAUUUAAGGCAUCGAAGGCUGUGUAGCGUUGUUCUGGAUUCACCACCAACAUUUUGGAGAUCUGAAAACAAUAAUGCUAUAUAUUUUUAGUUGUUUGUUCAUUUUCAGUGUAAUCAAUAACAGCAUGGUUCUAACAGUAGCGCCAACUGCAUACAAAUUAUAAGUUUAUAUUCAUGUACUCAUUCUAAUGUUAUUGG